GCCGUGAGCACAGUGAGAGCCUCGGUGAUGACGUACUUCCGUCACGCCUUCUGUCCGCCGAUGACGUGCUUCCGUCCCGCCUUCGUGUCCGCCUCCCUUUAUGGGCUUAUGAGUUUCUGCCUCAACUCCAGGCAUUUUUUUUUCUUUUGCCUCUAGCCCAGUUUUAGAAAGGACUAUGUCUUGGUCCUUCUUAAUGGUAUAAAAGAUAUCCUCAGCCCGCCAGAUGCUCCUGCAUUUGAGUGACGACACGCUUCUCUGGCUGUGACCAACUUUUCUCCCUUUCUUUUUAAAUGACAGGACUUCUUGUUCAAUACUUGCUGGAUAUGAAGAUCCAACCCAGUGCCUCCCAUUGCAUCCACUCCUCACACCACCGUCUCCAUGGCGUGACAGUUCCUCAGUUUUUCUUUGUUGUUCAUGACCUUCACCUUUUGGAAAGGUACUGGCCAGUCACUUUGCAAAAUGUUCCUCAAUUUGUGUUUGCUUGAUGUUUUCUCCUGAUUAAAGUGAUGCAUUUUGG
rnacentral:lncRNA from 1 species